rnacentral:lncRNA from 1 species
AGCUCCCUAUGGAUGUAUAAGCAAGCAUCUGUAGAAAAGAGGAAAAAAUUUAAAAUCCAUCAGCGGCUGUGCAAAGGACAGAAAAGACUGGGGAGCUUUCGGGUGGUACAUAUCAACUCCUUUGUCCAAAACAACAUGUGGCUGCCUGACUCCCCAUCUGUCCUCACCUCAAAGCAUAUGCUACACUGUGCAAGCUUUGGAUUCUAUGAAAUCUGGAAACAUCCUGCAGAGACGGCAGAACGUGGUGUUCCAGUGCUCGCUUCGGCAGCACAUGUACGAGAACUGGAACAAUACAGAGAAGAUUAG